GCAUAUCAAUAAGCGGAGGAAAAGAAACUAACAAGGAUUCCCCUAGUAACUGCGAGUGAAGCGGGAAGAGCUCAAAUUUGAAAUCUGGCGGUUCUGCCGUCCGAGUUGUAAUCUGGAGAAGCGUUUUCCGUGCCGGACCGUGUACAAGUCCCUUGGAACAGGGCGUCAUAGAGGGUGAGAAUCCCGUCUUUGACACGGACUCCCGGUGCUCUGCGAUGCGCUCUCGAAGAGUCGAGUUGUUUGGGAAUGCAGCUCAAAAUGGGUGGUAAAUUCCAUCUAAAGCUAAAUAUUGGCGAGAGACCGAUAGCGAACAAGUACCGUGAGGGAAAGAUGAAAAGCACUUUGGAAAGAGAGUAAAACAGUACGUGAAAUUGUUGAAAGGGAAACGCUUGGAGUCAGUCGCGUCUUCCGGAACUCAGCCUUGCUUCUGCUAGGUGCACUUUCCGGUUCGACGGGUCAGCAUCGGCUUUGGGAGGCGGACAAAGGCGCGGGGAAGGUGGCAGCUCCGGCUGUGUUAUAGCCCCGCGUUGUACGCGUCUCCCGGGACCGAGGAAUCCGGCGCUCGUCGCCUGGGAUGCUGGCGUAAUGGCUUUAAGCGACCCGUCUUGAAACACGGACC
rnacentral:rRNA from 1 species